rnacentral:tRNA from 1 species
GCCGGCGUAGCUCAGCAGUAGAGCGCGGGGACGCGGGUAAGCGGAAGCGAUAACCGCAGCGUCGAGGUCGCGGGUUCAACUCCCGCCGCUGCCC